rnacentral:rRNA from 1 species
UAGGGAAUCUUCCACAAUGGACGCAAGUCUGAUGGAGCAACGCCGCGUGAGUGAAGAAGGCUUUCGGGUCGUAAAACUCUGUUAUUGAAGAAGAACGUGUGUGACAGUAACUGGUCAUGCAGUGACGGUAUUCAAUCAGAAAGUCACGGCUAACUACGUGCCAGCAGCCGCGGUAAUACGUAGGUGGCAAGCGUUGUCCGGAUUUAUUGGGCGUAAAGCGAGUGCAGGCGGUCUUUUAAGUCUGAUGUGAAAGCCUUCGGCUUAACCGAAGAAGGGCAUCGGAAACUGGGAGACUUGAGUGCAGAAGAGGAGAGUGGAACUCCAUGUGUAGCGGUGAAAUGCGUAGAUAUAUGGAAGAACACCAGUGGCGAAGGCGGCUCUCUGGUCUGUAACUGACGCUGAGGCUCGAAAGCGUGGGUAGCAAACAGGAUUAGAU